UGCUGGCAGCGCUCUUUAGUCAAGGUCAAACAAAUUAAACCGCGACCGUGGGUUGCCAUAAAAUUAAUAACUUGCGGUGUACAGUGCUGAGCGGCAACAAUU
rnacentral:antisense_RNA from 1 species